UGGUUACUGUUUUGAUUGCGC
rnacentral:siRNA from 1 species